AGAGGUGGUCCUACCAAAGGAGCAAGACAAGAUUGAUCGUGUCUGUUCACGACAUCAACAGUCAGUCAAAUGCUUUUCUGAAUGUGAAGGACUCAAACAAGAUACUUGCACAUUGUAUUAUCCCAAAUGAGUGCGGAACCAAUUCAUGGGAAAGCUAAAUAUUGGAUUAAAGGAUAGUUAUUUGGAGCUCUUAAAAGUCAUUUACACGACACCAACAAAAAUUGGAUGAUAGCAACAUUGUUUACAAUUGGUGCUCUUACAUCUGCAAUGAGACAACCGGUUGAGGAGUCAAGCAAGAAUUCUUUCAGAUGUUAUGAAAUGCCUUGGCGACAAUGAAAAGCAAAUGCGAGAGUGCACUUUGUUUACUUUAGACUCUUGGCUUGCUGCUGGCCAUCUUGACAAAAAGGUCCCUUAUGUAACUGCUGCUCUCAAGGACACUAAGUUUGGUGGGUAAGGGCGCAACGAUCCUUUUGACUGGUUGUCAAGACAACUAGCUGGACUGUCCGAUUUUGAUUUUCCUGAUGCGAUACAUCUGCUGAAACUCUAUACAUCUGAUAAAUCAGCACAUGUUCGUAAAGCUGCUGAAGCAUGCUUUAAUGAAAUAUUCAGGGUUUGUGGACACGAAAUGGCAUGUAAGCCGCAAAGUUCGCACUUGUUGGAUUGGACUUGGGCCAGAUUAUCUGAUGGGCCUAAACUUCCCAACGGUCAUCUUCUUUCUGGUAGUGUUUGGGUUGAACUAAGGGAAAUGAAAACGGGCUGCUUCACAUCGGGCCGCUGACAACAUGCAAGAUUGGUGGACUUUGACUUGUUACUUUGGACAGCCAUUUUGUCUUAAUUAAAUUGAAUUAAAGGGAUAAUUUAAGGUAAAAAAUGUAUUUCAUAUUUUUAUUACAUAAUUUUUCAGCAGAACACAUAUUCCCAUUAAUUGUUGCCUGUCAUAUAUUCCAUCAAAAUAACACUUAAAUCAA